rnacentral:rRNA from 1 species
UAACCUGCCCAAGAGAUCGGGAUAACACCUGGAAACAGAUGCUAAUACCGGAUAACAACAGAUGAUGCCUAUCAACUGUUUAAAAAGAUGGUUCUGCUAUCACUCUUGGAUGGACCUGCGGUGCAUUAGCUAGUUGGUAGGGUAACGGCCUACCAAGGCGAUGACGCAUAGCCGAGUUGAGAGACUGAUCGGCCACAUUGGGACUGAGACACGGCCCAAACUCCUACGGGAGGCAGCAGAC